AGCUGGUUUGCAGGUAGUGGAUUAUCAGACCUUAUUAACAUUAGUGUCACUAAAGUUGGUAUACAACCCCUCUCUGCUAAAUUUGACUAGCAAAAA
rnacentral:Y_RNA from 1 species